GAUGAACGCUGGCGGCGUGCCUAAUACAUGCAAGUCGAGCGAACGGACGAGAAGCUUGCUUCUCUGACGUUAGCGGCGGACGGGUGAGUAACACGUGGAUAACCUACCUAUCAGACUGGGAUAACUUCGGGAAACCGUAGCUAAUACCGGAUAAUAUUUUGAACCGCAUGGUUCAAUAGUGAAAGACGGUCUUUCUGUCACUUAUAUAUGGAUCCGCGCUGCAUUAGCUAGUUGGUAAGGUAACGGCUUACCAAGGCAACGAUGCGUAGCCGACAUGAGAGGGUGAUCGGCCACACUGGAACUGAGACACGGUCCAGACUCCUACGGGAGGCAGCAGUAGGGAAUCUUCCGCAAUGGGCGAAAGCCUGACGGAGCAACGCCGCGUGAGUGAUGAAGGUCUUCGGAUCGUAAAACUCUGUUAUUAGGGAAGAACAUAUGUCUAAGUAACUGUGCACAUCUUGACGGUACCUAAUCAGAAAGCCACGGCUAACUACGUG
rnacentral:rRNA from 1 species